AACCUAGCACACCUGCGGUGUGUACCUGCGGAGGGAUCAUUAUUGAUUUUACUUGGAUGUGCUGGCCCCCGUCUUUUCGGAGGGGGGGGGGCAUGUGCACUCCAUCCCAAUCCCAAUAUCAUCCACCUUUGUGCACUCCCCAGUAGGCACCGAGACCUGCCGGUCUUCUUGUCUAUGUACCUUUUACGCACGCUUUUUUCUGAAUUAUUGGAAUGCAUAUAUAUAUACUUGACACAACUU
rnacentral:misc_RNA from 1 species